GCUCAGAGCGAACGCUGGCGGCGUGCUUACACAUGCAAGUCGCGCGGGAAAGGGACUUUCGGGUUCUGAGUAGAACGGCGAACGGGUGCGUAAGACGCGGGUGACCUAUCCUGGAGGCGGGGAUAACCCUUCGAAAGAGGGGCUAAUACCGGAUGAGCCCACAGGCAGAGAUGCCCGGGGGCAAAGGGUGCAGCUUACUAGGUGCACAUCUUCUGGGCGGGGCCCACGGCCUAUCAGCUAGUUGGUACGGUAACGGCGUACCAAGGCGAAGACGGGUAGCUGGUCUGAGAGGAUGGCCAGCCACACGGGGACUGAGACACGGCCCCGACUCCUACGGGAGGCAGCAGUGGGGAAUAUUGGGCAAUGGGCGCAAGCCUGACCCAGCGACGCCGCGUGGGUGAUGAAGGCCUUCGGGUCGUAAAGCCCUGUCGGGUGGAAAGAAUGGAGGAGGGGCGAAUAGCCUCUCUUCGUGACGGUACCACCGAAGGAAGCACCGGCCAAUUCCGUGCCAGCAGCCGCGGUAAGACGGAAGGUGCAAGCGUUGCUCGGAAUCACUGGGCGUAAAGGGUGCGUAGGCGGCUUGGUAAGUCGGGUGUGAAAGCCCCGGGCUCAGCCCGGGAAGGGCACUAGAAACUGCUGAGCUGGAGUGCUGGAGGGGAGAGUGGAAUUCCUGGUGUAGCGGUGAAAUGCGUAGAUAUCAGGAGGAAUACCGGUGGCGAAAGCGACUCUCUGGACGGCAACUGACGCUGAGGCACGAAAGCGUGGGGAGCAAACAGGAUUAGAUACCCUGGUAGUCCACGCCGUAAACGAUGGGCACUAGGUGUCGGGGGUAUCCACUCCCUCGGUGCCGCCGCUAACGCAUUAAGUGUCCCGCCUGGGAAGUACGGUCGCAAGAUUAAACUCAAAG
rnacentral:rRNA from 1 species